rnacentral:lncRNA from 1 species
CAAAUCUAAGCUCAAUGAUCACAAAUCCUUAAUUCAAGGACCAGAGCCAUUCAAAAUAUUUUCAUGCUCAAAACUAAUCUGAUUCCUUAUUCAGAAAUGAUUGAAUCCAGCACAAGGAGCUAGGACCAAGCUGCGAGAAUUGAAAAUGAUCUGCAAAGCCGUGUGAAUCAGCAAUUCAAUUUAGGACCACCAUACAAAUUGUCUUUCUAAUUUGUAUCGGAAUCAAAAUAUUAAUUUCAGCAACUCAUACGUCCUAUUCCUAAUAAACGAACAGCACAUUUAUAAAUGCCGUAGGUCAAGUUGUGAAAGUCGAUGAAUAAUCAAGCUGCUUACAUCAGACAACGUGAGCUCGAAAUGUAAAAUAAUUCAUAAAAUAAUCUACUUUACAAAACUGGUACUCUUGUAACUAGAGCUUUAAGCUAAGAACGCUACACCUGUGGUCGUCUAUAUGGUACAUAUCUAUGAUCCUUCGCGGCAUUCUUCUUCCUUCGUUUUUCCAAAAACUUAUCCAGCUUUCCACUAGCCUGAAAGUCAGUCAGGGUCUGCUGUAAGAUUCAUUUGAAUCACUUAUGAUGAUGCCAGCAGUACAUAAUCCAAAGGCUCGGAAACACUGAAAAUAAGACCAAAAUGAGCAGAUAAAAUAUAUGCGAACGAUUUAUUUUGACGUAUGCGACUAAAUCUUACCUUAAGUUCUUGGUACUUCCCAACAAGCUCUUCUUUCUUUAGCUCGGCUGCAUCAAAAGGAGGAAACAAUAAAUGAAUGUCAACAAACACUAUCAUUAAACAGAAUCACCUUAGCUAAGAAAAGCAGAAACGAUUCCAUCGAAACUUCAGGAUCAUCUCCUAGGUACAUGUAACUGAGUCAGCUUUAUAGACAUCAAGAACUCCUUACAUUUCUUUGGAUAAAAAGGUUUCUUCCCCUGCUUGACAGCCUCCUUUUCCUUACUUCCAUGCUGUGCAGCUGUUUCAGCAUGUUUUCUUCGUUGUUGUUCUUUCUUCAAUUCCUUGUCCUGCAAAAUUCAUGGAAAAACUAAAUUUAUUUCUUGAUUGAAAAUUUAUAAUCGAGGGCGCCAUUCGCAGAAGGAUGCAAAAUACUGGAAUGAAGCGCACGCAAACCUAUUCAACACAAAAAGGUAGCAUCUGCUCCCAAUAGUCAAGAGAUGUAAAGCCGGCAAAGCUUCAUAAUACAUAAAUCCUCUUAUAUCAUUGCACUACACGCAAUCACUAAGGUUAAUCCCGAGAUUCGAGACAUACUAUCCACUCAAGCCGCUUUUUCUUUUCUUCAAGAUCUUCUUCAACUCCGCCACCCUUAGCCAACUCCUUCGAAAUCCUCUGUGCCAAACACAAAAGCACACAAAUGGAAAUUCUUCGUCACUCUCAACCAACUUUGUCCAGGCACGUACGCCGACACAACUGAUCAAACAUGCCACAAAGACUAGUUCACAUGGAUCGCAAGUCUUUAUUUUUCAGGAGCGUGACACCACACUGCGUGAGAUCCACAAGAACUAGUAGAUGUGAGCAAAUUUUCGAGUCCACACAACCGCAAGGGAAAAAGACGGUGUCGCACA